GAUGAACGCUGGCGGCGUGCCUAAUACAUGCAAGUCGAGCGAAUAUAUCCUGACCUUGCCUCUCUGUCAUUUGCGGCGAGGGGGUGCGUAACACUUGGAAACCCUACCGUUACCUCUGGGUCAACUGCGGGAAACCGGAGCUAAUACCUGAUAAUAUAGUGAACCACAUUGUUCAAUAUGGAAAGACAGUUUUGGUGUCACUUAGAGAUGGAUCCGGGCUGCAUUAGCUAGUUGGUAAGUUAUCGGCUUACCAAGGCAACGAUGCGUAGCCGACCUGAGAGGGUGAUCGGCCACACUGGAACUGAGACACGGUCCAGACUCCUACGGGAGGCAGCAGUAGGGAAUCUUCCGCAAUGGGCGAAAGCCUGACGGAGCAACGCCGCGUGAGUGAUGAAGGUCUUCGGAUCGUAAAACUCUGUUAUUAGGGAAGAACAAAUGUGUAAGUAACUAAGCGCCUCUUGACGGUACCUAACCAGAAAGCCACGGCUAACUACGUG
rnacentral:rRNA from 1 species